GCGUUGUCCGGACUCAUUGGGCGUAAAGAGCGUGUAGGCGGUCCGUUAAGUCCGCUGUGAAAGUCGGGGGCUCAACCCUCGAAUGCCGGUGGAUACUGUCGGGCUAGAGUGCGGAAGAGGCGAGUGGAAUUCCUGGUGUAGCGGUGAAAUGCGCAGAUAUCAGGAGGAACACCUAUUGCGAAGGCAGCUCGCUGGGACGUAACUGACGCUGAGACGCGAAAGCGUGGGGAGCAAACAGG
rnacentral:rRNA from 1 species